rfam:Weissella confusa LBAE C39-2, WGS project CAGH01000000 data, contig: WeissC39_1_contig00018
CACAAACUGCAACCACUCGUGGUCUGUAUUAAGUAGUUCCUUGGAACUCGCGGACUCGGUGAGUCUAAGUUUUUUU